rnacentral:tmRNA from 1 species
GGGGCCGACCUGGUUUCGACGUGGGCUACAAAGCAGAACCGUGCAUACCGAGGGGUGGUCACCUCGUAAAUACAACCGCAAACCAAUAGUCGCAAACGACGAAAACUACGCUCUAGCUGCUUAAACCCAGCUGGACUCUGCACCGGUGGGCCUCAACGCCGGGUGUAGCAAUACACAGCAGAGUCAUUAACGAGGAUCGCUUCAUGUCGGGUCACUUGGCACGAAGUUAAAUUUAGGUGGCUCGCUCCUCACCAGCCUGCCCGUUGGCGUGUGAGAGGUCAGAAUCAAAUACCGGGAUCUAAGUAUGUAGAGCGGCCUGUAGAGGGCUUGCGGACGCGGGUUCGAUUCCCGCCGGCUCCACCA